GUCUCAAACUUCUGGCUUCAAACUAUCUGCCUGCCUCAGCCUCCCAAAGUGCUGGGAUUACAGGCGUGAGCACCGUGCCCUGCCUCUCUUCAAGGACUCUCUUUGCUACAUCGGCAUCACCUGGGAACGUGGUAGGGCUACAGAAUCUUGGGCCCCACCUUGGACCUACCUAAUCGUCAUCUUAUUCAUUGGUGUUCCCUUCGCCAGAGACCAGGUCGAUUGUCUUGGAGAAUGUCCCACAUUCAGCAUUUGUCUGCAUGCUUCCUUAUGGUGCCAUGCUCUUGUCCCUCUAUUCCAAGUGAGUGGAAGUUAGCUGGAGAAGUUUGACUAAAUUCAGGAUCAAGUUUUUGUGACAAGAAUAUUUCCUAGCUGGUGCUAUGUGCAUUUGCAUGGCAUCAGGAGGCAGAUGAUAUCUAGUUGGAAACAAGACUUUGGAUUUUACAAGCUAUGCUUUUGUAAGGAAAGGAACACAUUUAAAGCCUUGAGCGUGUAUUUGCAGAACCACGAGAUAACGGCAAAGAAAGUCCUUGGACACAGGCUCUGUGAGCAUCACAUCUCUCCAACUGGACCCGUGGGCGCUGCAGUGAGCAUAUAUGUCCUAAAGGGAUAUGGCACCAACCUUGUGAAUUGUUUGCUUGUGUUUUUCUAACAUUUCUACUACUUAGUUUCAAUUACAUUUUUCCUAGCAUGGAGUAAUAAAAA
rnacentral:lncRNA from 1 species